rnacentral:rRNA from 1 species
AGACAGCAGCAGCCACGGGAAUACAGAGGGUGCGAGCGUUAAUCGGAUUUACUGGGCGUAAAGCGUGCGUAGGCGGCUAAUUGAGUCGGAUGUGAAAUCCCCGAGCUUAACUUGGGAAUUGCAUUCGAUACUGGUUAGCUAGAGUGUGGGAGAGGAUGGUAGAAUUCCAGGUGUAGCGGUGAAAUGCGUAGAGAUCUGGAGGAAUACCGAUGGCGAAGGCAGCCAUCUGGCCUAACACUGACGCUGAGGUACGAAAGCAUGGGGAGCAAACAGGAUUAGAUACCCCAGUAGUCCCUGUCUCUUAUAC